UCCCUGGUGGUCCAGUGGUUAGGACUUGGCACUUACACUGCCGGGGGCCCAAAUUCAAUCCCUGGUUGGGGAA